UACGAGGGGGGCGAGCGUUGUUCGGAAUUACUGGGCGUAAAGGGUCCGUAGGCGGUGUAGCAAGUCGAUAGUGAAAUCUCUGGGCUUAACCCAGAGGCUGCUAACGAAACUGCUGUGCUAGAGUGUGAGAGAGGCGAGUGGAAUUACGGGUGUAGCGGUGAAAUGCGUAGAUAUCCGUAGGAACAUCCGAGGCGAAGGCGGCUCGCUGGAUCACAACUGACGCUGAGGGACGAAAGCUAGGGGAGCAAACAGG
rnacentral:rRNA from 1 species